rnacentral:lncRNA from 1 species
UGGGUAGUAUGCUGCAAUAUAUAUUCGGGAAUAUAUAUUGGAGUAUUUAGCUUUCAACCUAGAGACCAAACUUUCAUUUCUGUACUUAUACUAUUGAUGGGUUGGGCUGAAAUGAAUUUUUUUUUUUCUGCAGGUACACUAACCACGAAUGCAUAAAUUGAACGUAGUUGACGACUAGCUAUAUGCCGAGAGAGUAUGUGUUAUGCCACCGACAUAGAACGUGAUUGCCACCUUAGGCUGG